AUGGUUAAGUCCUCGAUCUAUUAGUAUUCGUCAGCUCCACAUGUCACCAUGCUUCCACCUCGAACCUAUCAACCUGAUCAUCUUUCAGGGAUCUUACUAGCUUACGCUAUGGGAAAUCUCAUCUUGAGGGGGGCUUCAUGCUUAGAUGCUUUCAGCACUUAUCCCUUCCGCACAUAGCUACCCAGCUAUGCCCUUGGCAGAACAACUGGUACACCAGCGGUGCGUCCAUCCCGGUCCUCUCGUACUAAGGACAGCUCCUCUCAAAUUUCCUACGCCCACGACGGAUAGGGACCGAACUGUCUCACGACGUUCUGAACCCAGCUCGCGUACCGCUUUAAUGGGCGAACAGCCCAACCCUUGGGACCGACUACAGCCCCAGGAUGCGAUGAGCCGACAUCGAGGUGCCAAACCUCCCCGUCGAUGUGGACUCUUGGGGGAGAUAAGCCUGUUAUCCCCGGGGUAGCUUUUAUCCGUUGAGCGAUGGCCCUUCCAUGCGGAACCACCGGAUCACUAAGCCCGACUUUCGUCCCUGCUCGACUUGUAGGUCUCGCAGUCAAGCUCCCUUAUGCCUUUGCACUCUACGAAUGAUUUCCAACCAUUCUGAGGGAACCUUUGGGCGCCUCCGUUACACUUUAGGAGGCGACCGCCCCAGUCAAACUGCCCACCUGACACUGUCUCCCGGGUCGAUAAGACCCGUAGGUUAGAAUUUCAAUACAGUCAGGGCGGUAUCCCACCAGCGCCUCCACCGAAGCUAGCGCUCCGGUUUCAAUGGCUCCCGCCUAUCCUGUACAAACUGUACCAAAAUUCAAUAUCAGGCUACAGUAAAGCUCCACGGGGUCUUUCCGUCCUGUCGCGGGUAACCUGCAUCUUCACAGGUACUAUAAUUUCACCGAGUCUCUGGUUGAGACAGUGCCCAAAUCGUUACACCUUUCGUGCGGGUCGGAACUUACCCGACAAGGAAUUUCGCUACCUUAGGACCGUUAUAGUUACGGCCGCCGUUUACUGGGGCUUCAGUUCAGAGCUUCGCUUACGCUAACCCCUCUCCUUAACCUUCCAGCACCGGGCAGGUGUCACCCCCUAUACUUCGCCUUACGGCUUCGCAGAGAGCUGUGUUUUUGCUAAACAGUCGCUUGGGCCUAUUCACUGCGGCUUUCCGUUAAGAAAGCACCCCUUCUCCCGAAGUUACGGGGUCAUUUUGCCGAGUUCCUUAACCAGAGUUCUCUCGCACACCUUAGGAUUCUCUCCUCGCCUACCUGUGUCGGUUUGCGGUACAGGCACCUUUUAUCUCGCUAGAAGCUUUUCUUGGCAGCGGGGAAUCAAAGACUUCGCUCCAUAAGGAGCUUCCCCAUCACAGCUCAGCCUUUAUGAUAAGCGGAUUUGCCUACUUAUCAGCCUAACUGCUUGGACGUGCACAACCAAUCGCACGCUUCUUCUAUCCUUCUGCGUCCCUCCAUUGCUCAAACGAUAAAGAGGUGGUACAGGAAUAUCAACCUGUUGUCCAUCGCCUACGCCUGUCGGCCUCGGCUUAGGUCCUGACUAACCCUGAGCGGACGAGCCUUCCUCAGGAAACCUUAGGCAUUCGGUGGACGGGAUUCUCACCCGUCUUUCGCUACUCAUACCGGCAUUCUCACUUCUAAGCACUCCACCAGUCCUUACGGUCUGACUUCACUGUCCUUAGAACGCUCCCCUACCACUGAUACCAUUGGUAUCAAUCCGCAGCUUCGGUGGUGUAUUUAGCCCCGGUACAUUUUCGGCGCAGAGUCACUCGACUAGUGAGCUAUUACGCACUCUUUAAAUGGUGGCUGCUUCUAAGCCAACAUCCUAGUUGUCUAAGCAACUCCACAUCCUUUUCCACUUAAUACACACUUUGGGACCUUAGCUGGCGGUCUGGGCUGUUUCCCUUUUGACUACGGAUCUUAUCACUCGCAGUCUGACUCCUAAGGAUAAGUCAUUGGCAUUCGGAGUUUGACUGAAUUCGGUAAUCCGAUGAGGACCCCUAGUCCAAUCAGUGCUCUACCUCCAAGACUCUUACACUUAAGGCUAGCCCUAAAGCUAUUUCGGGGAGAACCAGCUAUCUCCAGGUUCGAUUGGAAUUUCUCCGCUACCCACACCUCAUCCCCGCACUUUUCAACGUGCGUGGGUUCGGGCCUCCAUUCAGUGUUACCUGAACUUCACCCUGGACAUGGGUAGAUCACCUGGUUUCGGGUCUACGACCACGUACUAAACGCCCUAUUCAGACUCGCUUUCGCUGCGGCUCCGCCUCUUCAGCUUAACCUCGCACGGGAUCGUAACUCGCCGGUUCAUUCUACAAAAGGCACGCCAUCACCCGUUAACGGGCUCUGACUAUUUGUAGGCACACGGUUUCAGGAUCUCUUUCACUCCCCUUCCGGGGUGCUUUUCACCUUUCCCUCACGGUACUGGUUCACUAUCGAUCACUAGGGAGUAUUUAGCCUUGGGAGAUGGUCCUCCCAGAUUCCGACGGAAUUUCACGUGUUCCGCCGUACUCAGGAUACAUUCAAGAGAGAACGAAGUUUCGACUACGGGGUUGUUACCCUCUACGACGGACCUUUCCAGGUCGCUUCGUCUACCUCGUUCCUUUGUAACUCCGUAUAGAAUGUCCUACAACCCCAAGAGGCAAGCCUCUUGGUUUGGGCUAUGUUCCGUUUCGCUCGCCGCUACUCAGGAAAUCGCAUUUGCUUUCUCUUCCUCCAGGUACUUAGAUGUUUCAGUUCCCUGGGUCUGUCUUCCUUACCCUAUGUAUUCAGAUAAGGAUACCAUACCAUUACGUAUGGUGGGUUUCCCCAUUCGGAAAUCUUCGGAUCAAAGCUUACUUACAGCUCCCCGAAGCAUAUCGGCGUUAGUCCCGUCCUUCAUCGACUCCUAGUGUCAAGGCAUCCACCGUGCGCCCUUUCUAACUUAA
rnacentral:rRNA from 1 species